rnacentral:lncRNA from 1 species
AAAAUAGUAGUCAUCUAUAUAAUAAUACACAACCAUUUUUGAAUCUAUUCCCGCUUAACAUUUGAGAAACCACAACAAAGGUCCAGAUUUCAUCUUACUUAAUCUAAUGGUCAGAUCUCAUUACAGACAAAAAAAAAACCGCCCAAAUCAGACUAAGCCUCCUUCCCGUGUACUCUACUGUCUCCUUCCCUUCAAAAUUCCCCCAAAUCAAAAUCCUCACACUCGACUAUCUCCUUCCCUUCAAAACCCCCCAAAUCAAAAUUAGCCUUCUUCCAAAAACUAUUCCUACUCCCGUUCUCCCGUUCUCUUCCAACGCUACUCGGUGCUCAAGCGACGGCGCCGGCGAUGGCAAUCGGAGGUUGACGGCGCCGAUGGCACACAGUAAUGGUUCAGUUAAAAUUUAAAUUUUAUGCCCUGUAAAUUAAUUGUUCAAUUCGUGAACGGCGCCGACUGUUGAUUGCUUCAUUUUUUGGUUUCUUUUGAAUACAGAAACUUCAGUGGGUGAUGUUCAAUUGGUUUCUUUUGAAUACAGAAACUUUGUGAACGGCGCCGACUGUUCAAUUCGUUAACUCAUCUUCUCUCUCUCCUCUCACAAACCCACCUUCCAAAAGACUCUCACUCUGCAUCCCCAAAGUUUCUGCCAAGCAGGCUGCUGCUACUACCGGAGCUGUAGAGGACUCGCCUGACAAUUUUACAUUGUAGGGUGUGUUUUCUUUCCCCUUUAUUCUCUUUGUUGGCAUGUUGGGAGUUCCAUUUUUAGUGAUGGUUAAUUUGUUGUGGCCCAUUUGGUUGUAUUGGUUCCUUCUAUCAAAGAAAUUAAA